AUGUCGCGUAGUCCAUCCAUCCAAGUCUUUGUGCGUCCGAUCGAUGACGUAUGUUGUUUUGUCCUCUUGCCUGGUCUUCUUCUUCGGGGGUACCAAGAUGACGGGGAGAAAACUAAGACUGGAUAGUCGGAAGGGUGGCAAUAGGGUCGGUAGGGUCGGCGAGACGGACGACAACCCGGAUAGGACGACGGAGAGCGACGGACUGUGAACUGCUAGUUUUACAAAUAGCAAAACGGACAGUACGACUCCAGAGAGCAACGAGCUUCCGGCGGACAGUACGACUCCAGAGAGCAACGAGCUUCCGGCGGACAGUACGACUCCAGAGAGCAACGAGCUUCCGGCGGAUAGUUUCACCGCUAGCAAAGAGACACUUAUAGGGAGCAGAGGACCGCAUACCCUUAUCCUCGUUACGAGAAACAACGUCGCUGGUCUGGAGACCUUCUGUACCGUGCCGCCGGCACUGGGGGCUGGGGGUCUGACUCCGGAGGUACUGGAGGGUGCGCUCGGUGGUGGUAAUUUUAGGACGACCAACAAGGUACAGCCCAAGGGUGAACCACUUAAGGUCAAGUGCAAUAAUAAGGGGACCGGACACGGUAAAUGUCCCAAUCCUGGACUUAAAGGGACGCCUCCUCGUGAGGUCGGUGGCCGUAAAACUGAACGCAAAGGUUGAACCCCGUGGGUUGGUCCUAU
rnacentral:rRNA from 1 species